GGUGAACGCUGGCGGCGUGCUUAAGACAUGCAAGUCGAACGGGCUAUUCGGAGCUAGUGGCGCACGGGUGAGUAACGCGUAACUGACCUACUCCAAAGACGCGGAUAACGAUUCGAAAGAAUCGCUAAUACGUGAUGUGCUGUCAGAUCCUGUUCUGCCAGUAAAGAUUUAUUGCUUUGGGAUGGGGUUGCGUUCCAUCAGCUAGUUGGUGGGGUAAAGGCCCACCAAGGCGACGACGGAUAGCCGGCCUGGGAGGGUGGCCGGCCACAGGGGCACUGAGAGACGGGUCCCACUCCCACGGGAGGCAGCAGUUAGGAAUCUUCCACAAUGGGCGAAAGCCUGAUGGAGCGACGCCGCGUGAGGGAUGAAGGUCUUCGGAUCGUAGACCUCUGAAUCAGGGACGAAGGACACUUUAUGUGGGAUGACGGUACCUGAGUAAUAGCACCGGCUAACUCCGUGCCAGCCGCCGCCGUAAGAC
rnacentral:rRNA from 1 species